rnacentral:rRNA from 1 species
UACGUAGGGUGCAAGCGUUGUCCGGAAUUAUUGGGCGUAAAGAGCGUGUAGGCGGCCCGGUUAGUCCGCUGUGAAAGUCCAGGGCUCAACCCUGGAAUGCCGGUGGAUACUGUCGGGCUAGAGUCCGGAAGGGGCGAGUGGAAUUCCUGGUGUAGCGGUGAAAUGCGCAGAUAUCAGGAGGAACACCGGUGGCGAAGGCGGGUCUCUGGGCCGAUACUGACGCUGAGGAGCGAAAGCGUGGGGAGCGAACAGG